CUAAAUAACUGAGCGGAGCACACACUCUUGCAGUGGUGCCAGUUCUUUCAAGUGUCUACCUUAUCAACUUGCGACGGUACUUUACAAGCCUACCGUGGUUGUAACGGGUAACGGAGAAUCAGGGUUUGACUCCGGAGAGGGAGCCUGAGAAACGGCUACCACUUCUAAGGAAGGCAGCAGGCGCGCAAAUUACCCAUUCUCAGCACGAGGAGGUAGUGACGAGAAAUAGCAAGGCGGUGCCCAACGGGUGCCGUCAUUGCAAUGAGAACAAUCUAAAUCCUUUAACGAGGAUCAAGUCGAGGGCAAGUCUGGUGCCAGCAGCCGCGGUAAUUCCAGCUCGGCUAGCAUAUAUCAAUGUUGCUGCGGUUAAAAAG
rnacentral:rRNA from 1 species